rnacentral:rRNA from 1 species
CCUACGGGAGGCAGCAGUAGGGAAUAUUGCUCAAUGGGGGAAACCCUGAAGCAGCAACGCCGCGUGGAGGAUGAAGGUUUUCGGAGUGUAAACUCCUUUUGUUAGAGAAGAUACUGACGGUAUCUAACGAAUAAGCACCCGCUAACUCCGUGCCAGCAGCCGCGGUAAUACGGAGGGUGCAAGCGUUACUCGGAAUCACUGGGCGUAAAGAGCGCGUAGGCGGGAUAGCAAGUCAGAUGUGAAAUCCUAUGGCUUAACCAUAGAACUGCAUUUGAAACUGUUAUUCUAGAGUAUGGGAGAGGUAGGUGGAAUUCUUGGUGUAGGGGUAAAAUCCGUAGAGAUCAAGAGGAAUACUCAUUGCGAAGGCGACCUGCUAGAACAUAACUGACGCUGAUGCGCGAAAGCGUGGGGAGCAAACAGGAUUAGAUACCCGAGUAGUC